rnacentral:rRNA from 1 species
GAUGAACGCUGGCGGCGUGCCUAAUACAUGCAAGUCGAGCGAACAGACGAGGAGCUUGCUCCUCUGACGUUAGCGGCGGACGGGUGAGUAACACGUGGAUAACCUACCUAUAAGACUGGGAUAACUUCGGGAAACCGGAGCUAAUACCGGAUAAUAUAUUGAACCGCAUGGUUCAAUAGUGAAAGACGGUUUUGCUGUCACUUAUAGAUGGAUCCGCGCCGCAUUAGCUAGUUGGUAAGGUAACGGCUUACCAAGGCAACGAUGCGUAGCCGACCUGAGAGGGUGAUCGGCCACACUGGAACUGAGACACGGUCCAGACUCCUACGGGAGGCAGCAGUAGGGAAUCUUCCGCAAAGGGCGAAAGCCUGACGGAGCAACGCCGCGUGAGUGAUGAAGGUCUUCGGAUCGUAAAACUCUGUUAUUAGGGAAGAACAAAUGUGUAAGUAACUAUGCACGUCUUGACGGUACCUAAUCAGAAAGCCACGGUUAACUACGUG